rnacentral:rRNA from 1 species
ACGUACACUCCUACGGGAGGCAGCAGUGGGGAAUAUUGGACAAUGGGCGCAAGCCUGAUCCAGCCAUGCCGCGUGAGUGACGAAGGCCCUAGGGUUGUAAAGCUCUUUCACCGGUGAAGAUAAUGACGGUAACCGGAGAAGAAGCCCCGGCUAACUUCGUGCCAGCAGCCGCGGUAAUACGAAGGGGGCUAGCGUUGUUCGGAUUUACUGGGCGUAAAGCGCACGUAGGCGGACUAUUAAGUCAGGGGUGAAAUCCCGGGGCUCAACCCCGGAACUGCCUUUGAUACUGGUAGUCUUGAGUUCGAGAGAGGUGAGUGGAAUUCCGAGUGUAGAGGCGAAAUUCGUAGAUAUUCGGAGGAACACCAGUGGCGAAGGCGGCUCACUGGCUCGAUACUGACGCUGAGGUGCGAAAGCGUGGGGAGCAAACAGGAUUAGAAACCCCAGUAGUCCCAUGAU